rnacentral:misc_RNA from 1 species
CGCACAUUGCGCCCUUUGGCAUUCCGAAGGGCAUGCCCGUUCGAGCGUCAUUAAAUCCAAUCAAGCCUGGCUUGGUAUUGGGCGUCGGGGUGUCCCCGUGCCUCAAUUUCGCCGGCUGACCGUCGCCCGUCUUAGCGUUGUGACUUAUGUUUCGCUAGUGAUGGGAGGUGGACCACGCCGUUAAACCCCACGAAUUUCGAAAGGAAUUUGAUUAAGGUUGACCUCGGAUCGGGUAGGAAUACCCGCUGAACUUAA